rnacentral:rRNA from 1 species
UACGUAGGGCGCAAGCGUUGUCCGGAAUUAUUGGGCGUAAAGAGCUUGUAGGCGGUCUGUCGCGUCUGCUGUGAAAAUCCGGGGCUCAACCCCGGACUUGCAGUGGGUACGGGCAGACUAGAGUGUGGUAGGGGAGACUGGAAUUCCUGGUGUAGCGGUGAAAUGCGCAGAUAUCAGGAGGAACACCGAUGGCGAAGGCAGGUCUCUGGGCCACUACUGACGCUGAGAAGCGAAAGCAUGGGGAGCGAACAGG